rnacentral:rRNA from 1 species
UACGAAGGGGGGCUAGCGUUGUUCGGAAUUACUGGGCGUAAAGCGUGCGCAGGCGGCUUCUCAAGUCAGGGGUGAAAGCCCAGAGCUCAACUCUGGAAUUGCCUUUGAGACUGAGUGGCUUGAGUACGAGAGAGGUGAGUGGAAUUCCCAGUGUAGAGGUGAAAUUCGUAGAUAUUGGGAAGAACACCGGUGGCGAAGGCGGCUCACUGGCUCGUAACUGACGCUCAUGCACGCAGCGUGGGGGAUCAAACAGGG